AUGAACGUCGUCAGCGCCAUCUUCGCGCUGCUGGGCAUCGUCGCCUUCAUCGUCGACCUCCACCUGAACGGGCUCUACCGCUCCGGCUUCGACUACAGCUAUCUCAUCACGGUAAGCGGCGCGGGAGGCAGAGCCGUUUUUGGGACGCUCGCCCCCGAAACGCGUGCGCGGGGGGGGGGGGCUCCGCGCCCUGCCUCCACCGGGCGCUGCCGGGAGCGGAGCCGAAGGGUUUGCAUGCCGACGGGGUGCGUGCCGUGCCGUGCCGUGCCGUGCCGUGGCGGCGACGCUCACGGGCGCUUCCCCCCGCCCCCCCCCCGCCUGGAGCUCGCAGGGAACGGGAUCUCCAUCGUGCUGCUCAUCUUCACCAUCCUGGAGUUCUGCAUCGCGGUCGCCACCGCCAAUUUCUGGUGCCGGGCCACGCGCCUCCGCUCCAACGAGGUAGGAAGGGGGGCGGCGAGGCGAGCGCAGCCCGAGGAGGCGCUGGCGGCCCCGCGGGACCCGGCAGCGGCGCCCACCUCCUCCUCCUCCUCCUCCUCCUCCUCCUCGUCCCUUGCAGGCCAUGCUGAUCGUGCCCGGCACCAUCCGGGCGGACCUGGCGGUGCCCCCGGCGGAGCUGCCCCAGCCGCCCAGCUACACAGAGGUGAGCCACGAGCCCGGCGUGCGGGGGGGGCACCCGGGGCGGGCAGCUCCCGGGAGCGGCGGCCACCCUUCCUCCUCCUCCUCCUCCUCCUCCUCCUUGCAGCUGGUCGCCCCGGACGUCUAGCCAGGUGCCGCCCUCGAGGACGUCCCCGGCGCGGAGCCCGAGAGCAGCACCGGGUCACCUCCUCGCGCCGCAUCCCGCCUCCCACCCGCCGCCCCCCAGCCGGCCGCCGAGGCCGAAGGCCGUGGGCAUCCUCGUCCCGAUGCGCGGCCGGCCCUCCUGCGGACACCCCCCCUUCCUCCUCCUCCCCGGGGCGGCUUUCCACUCGUCUUCCUCCCCUGCUCCCGCGCCCCGCGUCGUCGUCCCCAGGAGGGGCUUCUUUUCGCCCACCGGCUGCUUUUGAGAAGGGUCUUUGUGAGCGUGUGUGGGGGGGGAGGGUGUUUUGGGGCCUCCCGGGGUGUUUUAACCACCCGGCUGGCUAUUGGGGGUUCGCUGAUGUGACGUGA
rnacentral:lncRNA from 1 species